AUUACUAUGACGGAAUGAAAGAGACAUCCAAAGCAGGUGGUGGAGUUGUUAAAGUCAAUGAUGCGGAAGUGAGGAGACUCAUGUUACAAAGCUGGAUUGCAGGACACUUGGUCCUUGUAACAAAAAAUAAAUAAAAUUGGUGGUGCGAUCGUCACAUGGAAGUCUGAAGAUAAGUGUACAGCGACUCCAAGAGGAGUGUGACGUUGUUCCUGUUUGUUGGGUUAAAAAAUUAUCUGGGAUGAUGUUGAGGAGGCGUGCAGGAAAAUGUGGGGAAAUCAGCAUCCUGAACCAGGAGGACAAGACAGCCUUUACUGCAGAGACAGAAGCUGUAAGGGGCAUGGCUGGCAAUACCCACCUGGAUUGGCCUGAGGAGGAAUGACUUCACUCACCCGUGGGCAAGGUCCAGUGUGUACCUACCUCCCCAUGAGCACAGCAGGAAAUUCAGCAUAGAAAUGCUCUGUGCUUCAGAAUCCAGGGAACUGGAGACCUGAGACAU